UGCAGUGUUCAAUUUGUGCGUGUGUGUGUGCAAGUCAGGGGAAAAAGUCGCUCCAUUUUUCUCGUGCUCUCUUGCGUACGUUUGGCUUUGCAAAACAAUUUAAUGGCGAAUCGUAUAAAUAUUAAAAUAGUGUUUGCCUGAGUUUUACAUAAGAAGCAAACACUGAAAUCUGCAAAAGCGCGCCGCAUAAUAAGUGUAAAAUCGCAUGCAUAUACCCGACUGUAGUAAUUGGCCAAUCGCUGGUGUGUGUGUGUGAAACUGUGUAUAUGCGCGCGUGUGUGUAAGUGAGCAAUGAAAAAUGAGGCGUAGGUGAGAAAUAUGUGUGCAAAAUUGUCGAAAAGCCUGUUAUGACAUGCAAAUCGCAGGGUCGGCCUUAAGGUGUACAUUCAACGGCGCUGCUAUUCCACAAAAAAAGGCAAUUAAACAUAUUUUCAAUGUGUGCGUGCUCAAUGACAGCUGACGAUCGGUUAAAUAGAAUUUGACUAACUAUAAGAUAAAGAAAAGAGAUCAAAGAUAAAUAAAAACUAUUGUUGUUAGUUGUCGUUGGCGUAACAUUAGCAAAAUACGUCAACCAUACUUUACAAAAAUUGUUAGAAAUUUGUGGGGAAAAUGUGCAAAAGUGUGUUUGUUAAAUUGUUAGCCAAAAUUAUUUGUUUACCUAGUACUACAUAGAACGUAACUGCCUUUCUUUAUCCAACAAGAGCAACAAUAAUAACAAAGAUAUUUCGACGCACCGGACAAGCAAACGAGCACUUAAAUUAAGACAAACAGUAAAUAUAUAAUACAUCUGCAUUCAACAAUAGCCAACAACAACAACAUUUAACAAAUCACCAAGGAAAUGCUCAAAUUGAAUACUUAAAUGUCAAGCGACAGCAGCACUGAUGCCACAGCAACAAAAAACAAAACAACAAAAGCAACUGUAAGCUAACAGAAGAACAAGAGAAGGAGCAGCAGUAGGGCAGUUGCGAACUUGUGUCUAGAGCCGAGAGAGAGAAAAUAAACAUAGAGAGAAAGAGAGAGUUCCUCUCGCGAGAGAGAAAGAGGAGAGAAGAGGAGAAAGGAGUGCAACAGAGCGAUUGCCUGCCGUAUGCACUGGACGCAUGCGCGGCAUGCGUGGAUGCUAAGUGAGUGUGUGCGUGUGCCAGUGUGUGCGUGCGUGUGUGUGUGUGUGCAUGUGUGUGCACGCACAACAUAGCAGCAGCAGCAAAAACAACUAACAACACCUUAAACAAACGAUCAACAAUAAAGUCCACACAUUUAACAGUUUGAACGAAAAUUUGGAGCAACAAUUUCGCAUUUCCACAACGAUUUGGAUCAAUCUUUUCAACAAUCAAUAGCCUUUGCUAUUAGUUUCAUAUAUUAUCUUUGAAAAUUCUGUGGAAAGUAAUUGCGUUUUUCAUUCAAAAUUGAGGGAAAUUUGCUGAGUAUUGCUUUCAGCAGUAACAGAACAACAACAGCAACAGCAGCAGCAGCAACAUCAACAUCAAUAACAACAAGAUGCAGCGACGCGAGCGUCAAACGAGAGAACAGUUAUUUAG